rnacentral:rRNA from 1 species
UACAGAGGUCUCAAGCGUUGUUCGGAUUCAUUGGGCGUAAAGGGUGCGUAGGCGGCGCGGUAAGUCGGGGUGUGAAAUCUCGGAGCUUAACUCCGAAACUGCAUUCGAUACUGCCGUGCUUGAGGACUGGAGAGGAGACUGGAAUUUACGGUGUAGCGGUGAAAUGCGUAGAUAUCGAGAGGAACACCUGCGGCGAAGGCGGGUUGCUGGGCUGACACUGACGCUGAUGCGCGAAAGCCAGGGGAGCGAACGGG